rnacentral:rRNA from 1 species
AUUGAACGCUGGCGGCAGGCCUAAUACAUGCAAGUCGAGCGGACGAACGAGGAGCUCUCCUGGAUGCAGUGGCGGACGGGCGGGUAAGGCCCACGAAGCUGCCUGGUCGAGAGGGCUGAGGUCCGGUCAGGGAAGCUGAUCCCGCACCGGUUCAUAGUGUGAACGUGGUGGAUCUUAGGAGCACAAGCUUCCUGCUGAGACUAGGACGUAUUAGCUAGUUGGUGGGGUAAAGGGGUACCAAGGCGACGAUCCGUAACUGCUCUGAGAGGAUGAUCAGUCACACUGGAACUGAGACACGGUCCAGACUCCUACGGGAGGCAGCAGUGGGGAAUCUUGGACAAUGGGCGAAAGCCUGAUCGAGCAAUGCCGCGUGUGUGAUGAAGGUCUUCGGAUUGUAAAACUCUUUAAGUUGGGAGGAAGAGCAGUAAGAUAAUACCUUGAUGUCUUGACGUUACCAACAGAAUAAGCACCGGCUAACUACGUG